rnacentral:misc_RNA from 1 species
GGUAGUAAAAGUCGUAACAAGGUCUCCGUUGGUGAACCAGCGGAGGGAUCAUUACAGGACUCGCAAGACUCCUACAACCCUGUGAACUUAACUAUAAGCACGUUGCUUCGGCGGGUGUCUCGGAGGGGGUUCUCCCUCCCCGAGACGCUAAACCCGCCGGCAGCCUACUAUACUCUGUCUCUUUGCGUUGGCAUCUCGAGUACAAUCAAACAAGUUAAAACUUUCAACAACGGAUCUCUUGGUUCUG